rnacentral:rRNA from 1 species
UACGUAGGGGGCAAGCGUUGUCCGGAUUUAUUGGGCGUAAAGAGCGUGUAGGCGGCCAGACAGGUCCACUGUGAAAACUCGAGGCUCAACCUCGAGAGGUCGGUGGAAACCGUCUGGCUAGAGUCCGGAAGAGGAGAGUGGAAUUCCCGGUGUAGCGGUGAAAUGCGCAGAUAUCGGGAAGAACACCCGUGGCGAAGGCGGCUCUCUGGGACGGUACUGACGCUAAGGCGCGAAAGCGUGGGGAGCGAACAGG